UACGUAGGGUCCGAGCGUUGUCCGGAAUUAUUGGGCGUAAAGGGCUCGUAGGCGGUUCGUCACGUCGGGAGUGAAAACUCGGAGCUUAACUCCGAGCCUGCUUCCGAUACGGGCAGACUAGAGGUAGGCAGGGGAGAGCGGAACUCCUGGUGUAGCGGUGGAAUGCGCAGAUAUCAGGAGGAACACCGGUGGCGAAGGCGGGUCUCUGGCCGAUACUGACGCUGAGGAGCGAAGCGUGGGGAGCGAACAGG
rnacentral:rRNA from 1 species